GCCCCUGUAGCUCAGUGGUCAGAGCAUCUGCCUUGCAUGCAGAAGGUUCCAGGUUCGAUUCCUAGCAUCUCCAGGUAGGGACC